rnacentral:ncRNA from 1 species
CUAGUAUUUCGCCAAUGUUGGUGCGCUAUUCUCAUAUUCGAUAAUAGCCUGAAAAGGGAAUCUGGUGAAAAUCCAGAACUGACGCGCAGCGGUAAGAGAGAACGAAGGUACAUAUCCAUUCACACUGUUGUUUUUCUGUAUGAUAAAGGAUAUAGAGAAAAAUAAUGGGAAGUGAGUACUUUAGGUUAACUGCUCUUAAGUCCGAAGACCUGCCAACAAUAAGUGAUACAU